rnacentral:siRNA from 1 species
UUAUGUAGGGGUAUUUACGGCA